rnacentral:rRNA from 1 species
ACACAUGCAAGUCGAACGAUGAAGCCCAGCUUGCUGGGUGGAUUAGUGGCGAACGGGUGAGUAACACGUGAGUAACCUGCCCUUAACUCUGGGAUAAGCCUGGGAAACUGGGUCUAAUACCGGAUAGGAGCGUCCACCGCAUGGUGGGUGUUGGAAAGAUUUAUCGGUUUUGGAUGGACUCGCGGCCUAUCAGCUUGUUGGUGAGGUAAUGGCUCACCAAGGCGACGACGGGUAGCCGGCCUGAGAGGGUGACCGGCCACACUGGGACUGAGACACGGCCCAGACUCCUACGGGAGGCAGCAGUGGGGAAUAUUGCACAAUGGGCGCAAGCCUGAUGCAGCGACGCCGCGUGAGGGAUGACGGCCUUCGGGUUGUAAACCUCUUUCAGUAGGGAAGAAGCGAAAGUGACGGUACCUGCAGAAGAAGCACCGGC